CUUGGUCAUUUAGAGGAAGUAAAAGUCGUAACAAGGUUUCCGUAGGUGAACCUGCGGAAGGAUCAUUAAUGAAUAAAACUUUGAGGAUGUUGCUGGCUUUGUCUUUUGGGAUGAGGCAGGUGCACUCCUCGGAUAUUCUUUUGACCACCUUUCACAAACCAUGUGCACCCUCUGUAGGUCUGGCCUUUUGUUCCAAACCUAUGUUUUAGCCAUCUGCUCCAUGGAAUGUCAUUUGAAUGUUGAAUCUUCUUUGAUAAUACACAACUUUCAACAAUGGAUCUCUUGGCUCUCGCAUCGAUGAAGAACGCAGCGAAAUGCGAUACGUAAUGUGAAUUGCAGAAUUCCGUGAAUCAUCGAAUCUUUGAACGCACCUUGCGCCCCUUGGUAUUCUGAGGGGCAUGCCUGUUUGAGUGUCAUUGUAAUCUCUCAACUUUGGUCUUUGGUUUCUUAACCCAAGGCCCAGAGUUUGGAUGGUGGAGGUGUGCUGGCCGCCCCCCGUGGAGGGUCAGCUCCUCUGAAAAGAAUCAGCAAAGGGAAACGUACCUGUUCCUGCAUCUCGUGCUUCUGGCAUUGAUAAUUGUCUAUGCCUGUUGUGGCUCAGAUGCCUUUUGGAUCGGGCGAGCGUCUUUGCUUACAGUUGUCCUUUGGACAUUUUUGACAAAUCACUCAAAUCAGGUAGGACUACCCGCUGAACUUAAGCAUAUCAAUAAGCGGAGGAAAAGAAACUAACAAGGAUUCCCCUAGUAACUGCGAGUGAAGCGGGAAGAGCUCAAAUUUAAAAUCUGGCAGUUUUGCUGUCCGAGUUGUAAUCUAGAGAAGCGUUUUCCGUGCUGGACCGUGUACAAGUCUCUUGGAAUGGAGCGUCGUAGAGGGUGACAAUCCCGUCUUUGACACGGACUGCCGGUGCUUUUGUGAUGCGCUCUCAAAGAGUCGAGUUGUUUGGGAAUGCAGCUCAAAAUGGGUGGUAAACUCCAUCUAAAGCUAAAUACAGGCGAGAGACCGAUAGCGAACAAGUACCGUGAGGGAAAGAUGAAAAGAACUUUGAAAAGAGAGUUAAACAGUACGUGAAAUUGUUGAAAGGGAAACGAUUCAAGUCAGCCGCGUUGGUCGGAAAUCAACCUUGCACUCUUGUGAGAGGCUUACUUUCCGGUUGACGGGUCAGCAUCAAUUUUGACCGUCGGAUAAAGUCCUGGGGAAUGUGGCAUCUUUGGAUGUGUUAUAGCCCCUUGUCGCAUGCGACGGUUGGGAUUGAGGAACGCAGCGCGCCGUAAAGGUCGGGGCCUUUGGGCUCACGUACACGUGCUUUGGAUGCUGGCAUAAUGGCUUGAACCGACCCGUCUUGAAACACGGACC
rnacentral:rRNA from 1 species